UUAAUGAAGAAUAAUUUUUGCAUUUUUACACAUUUGGUGCACAUUUAGAGAAGAGUUUGUGACCAGGAUGAGCGUGACUGCACCAUGAAACUUAUUUUUCCCAUUUCAACAAACACACCACAUUUCCGAAACAACCAAUCAAAACAGUUUGUCGGAAGGGUUGAAAAACGAGGAAGAGGAGUGACUCACGCUGGUGCAGUGGACUUCAGACUUGGAGGGGAAGACGAAGAAGAGGAGGGAGAGGAGAAGUUGCCCAUCCACUCUGUCAGGCCCAGAACACAGAAACCACAUCAGACCAGCAGCAGAACCAGAACCAGAUCCCUGCUGGCUACAGCAGCUGAAACAGGUGAUGGGCAGUGGAACAUCAAAACGAAAGCAGACAGCCCCUGUUGUUCAGCCCUUUUCAGCUAUGGAGUGCAGGUAGAUCUGCUGUCCCCCCACAGUCCAAAAGACCUUUUUUUUUGUUGUUUUUUGCUUCUGAUACGGUCAAAACCAUCUGUGAUAACACCAACAAACAUGGUACAAAAAAUAAAAGCUAGUGGAAAACAAUAUAAAUGGGCUCAAAUAGACACAGAGGAGUUUUAUAAAUCUUUGGGUCUCCUGAUCUACAUGGUUCAAAAUGUUCAGGACUUAUGGUUGUAAAAACAAAAACAUGAGACAUAAGGUUGGAGAGAUUUUGUGAUUGAGUCAUUGUCACACAUUUUUGAAAAGAUUGUAAAAUAAAAUAAAAAACACGAGACAUUGUGAGGUUGGAGAGAAUUUGUGGAGGAGUAAUUGUGACACGUUUUGUACAUUGUUGUAAAAAACGCCUGGAAAUUUGCACACAAUUUAAGGUAAAACCAUGGAUAUAAUUUUUUUUUUUUUU